rnacentral:rRNA from 1 species
GUCAGCGACCAUAAGAGCAGGGAAACACCCGAACCCAUUUCGAACUCGGUAGUUAAGCCUGCUUGUGACUGGCUGCUAGUGCAAUCUUGCGCGAAAGCCAGUUGUUGCUGACA